rnacentral:misc_RNA from 1 species
UUUCCGUAGGUGAACCUGCGGAAGGAUCAUUGAAUCGAUCAGACCACACCGGUAACUCUGCUGUCCUCCCACAGACCUUUUUUUCCUUGUUGGAGAAGGAGGCUGUGCGCAUGCCCCUGCUCCGGCAGGUGGGGUUGCUUGUUUCACAAGCAGCCUCUCCUCUGUGAGGAGGUCGUGCGGGCCGCGAGGCAAGCGGUCCUCUUGCCCCACAUUUCUGUGGGGCGAGCGGCUGCUUGUCCCGUGCGCUGGCCAAACCAACACCGACCCGAACCGAGCCUGAAGCAGAAGCUGGUCUGUAACCAAAGUUGCAGCCAGACACAAACCAAAGACAACUCUCAACAACGGAUAUCUUGGCUCCC